UGGGGAAUAUUGCACAAUGGGCGAAAGCCUGAUGCAGCGACGCCGCGUGAGGGAUGACGGCCUUCGGGUUGUAAACCUCUUUCAGUAGGGACGAAGCGCAAGUGACGGUACCUGCAGAAGAAGCACCGGCUAACUACGUGCCAGCAGCCGCGGUAAUACGUAGGGUGCGAGCGUUGUCCGGAAUUACUGGGCGUAAAGAGCUCGUAGGCGGUUUGUCACGUCGUCUGUGAAAUCCUAGGGCUUAACCCUGGACGUGCAGGCGAUACGGGCUGACUUGAGUACUACAGGGGAGACUGGAAGUUCUGGUGUAGCGGUGGAAUGCACAGAUAUCAGGAAGAACACCGAUGGCGAAGGCAGGUCUCUGGGUAGUAACUGACGCUGAGGAGCGAAAGCAUGGGUAGCGAACAGG
rnacentral:rRNA from 1 species